rnacentral:rRNA from 1 species
AACGCUGGCGGCGUGCCUAAUACAUGCAAGUCGAGCGAACCAAUUGAAAGCCUAGCUUUCAUGAGGUUAGCGGCGGACGGGUGAGUAACACGUGGGUAACCUGCCCUAUAGACUGGGAUAACUCGCGGAAACGCGUGCUAAUACCGGAUAAYACAUCARAGUGCAUGCUUUGAUGUUGAAAGAUGGUUCUGCUAUCACUAUAGGAUGGGCCCGCGGCGCAUUAGCUUGUUGGUGGGGUAACGGCCUACCAAGGCGACGAUGCGUAGCCGACCUGAGAGGGUGAUCGGCCACACUGGGACUGAGACACGGCCCAGACUCCUACGGGAGGCAGCAGUAGGGAAUCUUCCACAAUGGGCGAAAGCCUGAUGGAGCAACGCCGCGUGAGCGAAGAAGGUCUUCGGAUCGUAAAGCUCUGUUGUAAGGGAAGAACAAGUGCAGUAGU